UCAAAAAUGUCAAGUAUUGUUUUGGUUUAUUCGUCGUUUUCUUUAGGCCCUCCGCAAGGUUUUAACCUCUUUAUUAGACGUUUUAAUUAUUAUAAUAUCGAUAAUAACAGGAAUAUUUUGUUUAUUUUGAAUGUUGGGAAGUGUAAAUAGUGAAACUGCUACCUAUUUAUUAAAAGAAAACGGAAAUGAGUUUCAAUAUACAUUGAAGAAAAAUUACGGUCCUAUGCUUCAAUGUAUUUAUUGUUCCGGAGAAUGAGAUGAAAACAAUGUCGCAAACACACAAUUCUUUCUUUAAACAAAUUUUCGAGAAGGAGGAUGCAAAUGCUGUUAGUAAAAACUCGUGCCGAUAUCUUUCAUAGGAAAACGUUGCAUACAUUUAUACAAGAAAAUAUUAAACAUAUUGAGUAAAGUUACAAUGUAUUAAGA